rnacentral:rRNA from 1 species
GGGACGCCGGCGAGUGGCGAACGGGUGAGUAAUGCAUCGGAACGUACCCAGUAGUGGGGGAUAACUUACCGAAAGGUAAGCUAAUACCGCAUACGCACUGAGGUGGAAAGCAGGGGACCGCAAGGCCUUGCGCUAUUGGAGCGGCCGAUGUCGGAUUGGCUAGUUGGUGGGGUAAAGGCCUACCAAGGCGACGAUCCGUAGCGGGUCUGAGAGGAUGAUCCGCCACACUGGAACUGAGACACGGUCCAGACUCCUACGGGAGGCAGCAGUGGGGAAUUUUGGACAAUGGGCGCAAGCCUGAUCCAGCCAUGCCGCGUGAGUGAAGAAGGCCUUCGGGUUGUAAAGCUCUUUCGGCCGGGAAGAAAUCGUGGUGGCUAAUACCUGCCAUGGAUGACGGUACCGGACUAAGAAGCACCGGCUAACUACGUGCCAGCAGCCGCGGUAAUACGUAGGGUGCGAGCGUUAAUCGGAAUUACUGGGCGUAAAGCGUGCGCAGGCGGUUGUGUAAGACAGGCGUGAAAUCCCCGGGCUCAACCUGGGAACUGCGCUUGUGACUGCACGGCUAGAGUACGGCAGAGGGGGGUGGAAUUCCACGUGUAGCAGUGAAAUGCGUAGAGAUGUGGAGGAACACCGAUGGCGAAGGCAGCCCCCUGGGUCGAUACUGACGCUCAUGCACGAAAGCGUGGGGAGCAAACAGGAUUAGAUACCCUGGUAGUCCACGCCCUAAACGAUGUCGACUAGUUGUUGGAGGGGUAAAACCCUUUAGUAACGUAGCUAACGCGUGAAGUCGACCGCCUGGGG